ACAGUAGCAGAGUGUCCUACUGUACGCGCCCACCCGCCCGCCAGCACGUGACCUGAGCCCCCUCCCCAUACCAGCCCCUAGUACACUGUCCUGCCCGCCCGCCAGGUGGCGCCCACCCGCCUGCCCUCACCCUACACCCCUAGCUGGGGGUGGGGAGGGAGCAGGACGAGCCGCGUCGCAGCUCGGCUGCCGACACUGUGCCACCACCAGCACCGCUGUGGCCAUCGCUGCUGGUCAGACCCUAAGAAGCCUUGGCCCCGGGGAGUUGGGGGACUAGGGACCUAGAAUGGAGGAGAAAACCAAGAAGGCUUUCGGAAAUUCAAGAGCUAAAAAUGUCAGGAAUUUCCUGGGAAACGCAGUUCCUUACGGGAUUCAUUAAAGCAGGUUCGCUUGCUUACCCUUUACUCUUCCUCCCAAAAAUGUGUUGAAGAGCCCCCCCCCCAAAUAAAACAGUUAAAUGG